ensembl:lncRNA
UGGCAAAGAGCUGGCAUAAUGCAUUUCACCUCUCCUCAAACAUUUGUUAAGGGCUCAUCACGCUGCACUAUUUCUUCCCCUUGCCUUGGAUCAGCCUCUUGAGAAAUCAUUUAGCGUCACACACCCGUUCUCCACCCCCCACUAAUCAAAGAGCCUUUGCACAGUACUACAGACACUGCUUCCAUGUCUCAAAAGCACUAACAAUGCAGAUUUUUUUUUUUUUUUUUGAUUGAAGUCCACUACAGCAGUUCUCCUUUAUCGCAAACUCAAGAUUACUCAACUGCAUUUGGAAAAGAUGCAGGCACCCUCCACGGCACACAUUUGGGAUUGAGUAGAUUCCAGGGGACUAUUCCCAAGAUUAAGCACGUGUGCACACACAAAUCAAGGUCAUGGUAUCUUACACUGACUGUUGGCAGUGUUCGGACACUCUGAUUAAACACUGAUCACAAAUAAAGCCAUUCUACAGGGCAGUGAGCUGAAUGCAAGUGAUGAUUCACAUGGAGCACCAACAAAAUUCAUGGAAUCAAGAAUUAUAGAAUAUCCCGAGUUGGAAGAGACCCACAAGGAUCAUUGAGUUCAACUUCUGGCUCCACACAGGACCACACAAAAAUCAGACCGUGUGUAUGAGAGCAGUGUCCAAACAGUACUUGAACUCCGGUAGCGUGGGGCCAUGACCACUGCCCUGGGGACUCUGUUCCAGGGCAUAUUCAUCCUCUGAUGAAGAACCUUUUCCUGAUAUCCAACCUGAACCUUCAGUAAAGCUGAACAAGUCUGAAUAAAAUGAAGAAAUGGGAGAACUGAAAGCAAAUCUGGCUGUGUACAAAGAGCAAAUGUGUAUGCCUGCUGCCUUCUGUGAUAGCUGGGAAGAGGACAGUGGUCAUUUAAAUAUACUCAUGGCAAUACUCAGGGCAUGAAGCCUAAGGCAAAGAAUGAAAUGAUUAACUCAAGUGCCAUUAAGUCAGAGUAUCCUACAUCUUAGAUGACAUGAAUCAAAGCUGUGGGAUUCAGACCUCUUCAAGACAGCUCGUGCCUCACAUAUACAACAGCUCUCACUGCCCGAGGCAUCUGACUCUUUCCCUGGCCAUCAAAGGCAGCUCCUUAUGAACCAGCUCCAGGACUUCUUUCUGGUCUUGUCUCUGCCCUUAUUAACACGAAGAAACAUUCAAAGAUGGGCUGCACACACUGCUGUUUGUUGUGGGCCACCAAAUGGCAUCGGAAGAGGGUACUGAUGCCUUUGAGGCACUCAGCAUGAAGUGCCAAGUAUGCUCCUAGCAUAUUACUGGAAGUACUGGAUGAUUUUUGUCUUCAGACCCAAAGAUACCUGUCAGCAAUGCAUAUUAGUAGGGCAGGGGGGAAAGGAAACUGUGUUUUAUUCCUUCCUAUUGCAAUACUUUGCUUUGUUUUUUAGUAUCUGAUUUACUGUUAACAUUAAGCCAGGAACAAAUGGAAAGCUCCUACAAAGAUUCAAAAGCUCCCUUCAAAACCUUUUCCUCCUUUCUGAUAUUCUUUGGAUGUAUUUUUCUAAACAGACAAUGUGUCAUACUUUUACAGUAUGCUUACUCGGGAUCUAAAUAUGCUUUCUCUAAAACCCCAGAUUAUUUAUUUAUUCGUAAUAAUUUUUUUCCAAAAUGCUUGGAGCACAUAAAGGGUCAUUGAUCUACUCAAGAAUGCACAGAAGUGUUUGUCAGAACCAUGAGAAUCUUUCCUGAUUUCUAUUACUUUGUCCUAAUCAGAACAGCAAUCUUUCUCUCUUAUCAAACAAACAGAGUAAGACACAUUUGUUUUUUAUCUGAAAAUAUGCUUCUAUGCACAGAGAGCAGAUAUAAUUUUUUAUCAUGUUUGCAUGAUGAAACUACACAGUUUUUGUCUUCUUUUUCUUCUGAUUUCAUAGGAGACUCUGAAACAAGUGUGUUAAACAUAGAAGGAUUUACAGCAACAUUGUCCUCUUUCUUGUGGGAAUAUUCUGUUACCAGCAUAUACAUAGGCAGAAUCUUCAGUAUAUCUUAAAAUCCAGCAAUGGAAGAUCCCAAGUUUAAAAUCUUACAGUUUCUCAGGUUUUUUAUUGAAG